rnacentral:rRNA from 1 species
UCCGGUUGAUCCUGCCAGAGGCCGCUGCUAUCCGGCUGGGACUAAGCCAUGCUAGUCUAGGGGCUUGUACUCCUUCGGGGGUGCAAGCACCGGCGGACGGCUCAGUAACACGUGGACAACCUGCCCUCGGGUGGGGGAUAACCCCGGGAAACUGGGGCUAAUCCCCCAUAGGUGAUGGGUGCUGGAAUGCCCCAUCUCCGAAAGCGCUUAGCGCCCGAGGAUGGGUCUGCGGCGGAUUAGGUAGUUGGUGGGGUAACGGCCCACCAAGCCUAAGAUCCGUACGGGCUGUGGGAGCAGGAGCCCGGAGAUGGACCCUGAGACAAGGGUCCAGGCCCUACGGGGCGCAGCAGGCGCGAAGCCUCCGCAAUGCGGGAAACCGCGACGGGGUUAGCCGGAGUGCCCGUGCAUUGCACGGGCUGUCGGGGUGCCUAAACAGCACCCCAUAGCAAGGGCCGGGCAAGGCCGGUGGCAGCCGCCGCGGUAAGACCGGCGGCCCGAGUGGCGGCCACUCUUAUUGGGCCUAAAGCGUCCGUAGCCGGCCCAGUAAGUCCCCCG